rnacentral:rRNA from 1 species
ACGGAAGGCAGCAGUGGGGAAUAUUGGACAAUGGGGGGAACCCUGAUCCAGCGGCGCCGCGUGAGUGAAGAAGUAUUUCGGUAUGUAAAGCUCUUUAAGCAGGAAAGAAAAUGACGGUACCUGCAGAAUAAGCCCCGGCUAACUACGUGCCAGCAGCCGCGGUAAUACGUAGGGGGCAAGCGUUAUCCGGAUUUACUGGGUGUAAAGGGAGCGUAGACGGCAAUGCAAGUCUGAAGUGAAAGCCCGUGGCUUAACUGCGGGACUGCUUUGGAAACUGUAUGGCUAGAGUGUCGGAGAGGUGAGUGGAAUUCCCAGUGUAGCGGUGAAAUGCGUAGAUAUUGGGAGGAACACCGGAGGCGAAGGCGGCUCACUGGACGAUUACUGACGUUGAGGCUCGAAAGCGUGGGGAG